rnacentral:rRNA from 1 species
GAUGAACGCUAGCUGCAGGCUUAAUACAUGCAAGUCGUGGGGCAGCGCAGGUAGCAAUACUGGGCGGCGACCGGCAAACGGGUGCGGAACACGUACACAACCUUCCGAGAAGUGGGGAAUAGCCCAGAGAAAUUUGGAUUAAUACCCCGUAACAUAACGAUGUGGCAUCACAUUGUUAUUAUAGCUUCGGCGCUUCUUGAUGGGUGUGCGGCUGAUUAGAUAGUUGGCGGGGUAACGGCCCACCAAGUCUACGAUCAGUAGCUGAUGUGAGAGCAUGAUCAGCCACACGGGCACUGAAACACGGGCCCGACUCCUACGGGAGGCAGCAGUAAGGAAUAUUGGUCAAUGGACGCAAGUCUGAACCAACCAUGCCGCGUGAAGGAUUAAGGUCCUCUUGAUUGUAAACUUCUUUUAUCUGGGACGAAAAAAGGCGAUUCUUCGUCACUUGACGGUACCAGAUGAAUAAGCACCGGCUAACUCCGUGCCAGCAGCCGCAGUAAUAC